AUUGAACGCUGGCGGAACGCUUUACACAUGCAAGUCGAACGGUAACGUGGGGAGGAGCUUGCUCCACCCCGACGACGAGUGGCGAACGGGUGAGUAAUACAUCGGAACGUGUCCGCUUGUGGGGGACAACCAGCCGAAAGGUUGGCUAAUACCGCAUGAGUUCUACGGAAGAAAGAGGGGGACCCGCAAGGGCCUCUCGCGAGCGGAGCGGCCGAUGACUGAUUAGCCGGUUGGUGAGGUAACGGCUCACCAAAGCAACGAUCAGUAGCUGGUCUGAGAGGACGACCAGCCACACUGGGACUGAGACACGGCCCAGACUCCUACGGGAGGCAGCAGUGGGGAAUUUUGGACAAUGGGCGCAAGCCUGAUCCAGCUAUUCCGCGUGUGGGAUGAAGGCCCUCGGGUUGUAAACCACUUUUGUAGAGAACGAAAAGACAUCUUCGAAUAAAGGAUGUUGCUGACGGUAC
rnacentral:rRNA from 1 species